AUCGCUUCUCGGCCUUUUGGCUAAGAUCAAGUGUAGUAUCUGUUCUUAUCAGUUUAAUAUCUGAUACGUCCCCUAUACGGGGACUUCAUAUUAAACGGAUUUUUAGAACAGGGAGGCGAAACAGGGGCUUGCCCCGUUCGCCCCACGCAUCGGCCUGGUAUUGCAGUGCCUCCGGGAACGGUGCACCUUCU